AUAAAUGCAGUGAUGGGAAGAGUAGCAAAGGAAAGUGCUUUAAAGAGAGCCGGGGCAGGUGAAAGCCGGCAGCAUGGAAGCUUGUGAACAUGGCCCCAGAGCAGUCUGUCUGAAGAAAAGUAGGGCAGGACGGCAGCAACCGUUACAUUGCAGGGUGAUAAAAGCCGAGCGUUUGCUUCUUAGGUGGAGUCACUUAGUAAGGUAUUUAUGGUGACAUAAAUAUGAAUUAGAGUGGUAUCGCGUAUAUUGCGCCUCUAUG
rnacentral:ncRNA from 1 species